CCUACGGGUGGCAGCAGUGGGGAAUAUUGCACAAUGGGGGAAACCCUGAUGCAGCGACGCCGCGUGAAGGAAGAAGUAUUUCUGUAUGUAAACUUCUAUCAGCAGGGAAGAAAAUGACGGUACCUGACUAAGAAGCCCCGUCUAACUACGUGCCGGCAGCCGGGGUAAUACGUAGGGGGCAAGCGUUAUCCGGAUUUACUGGGUGUAAAGGGAGCGUAGGCGGUUUAGCAAUUCAGAAGUGAAAGCCCGGGGCUCAACUCCGGGACUGCUUUUGAAACUGUUGGACUCGAUUGCAGGAGAGGUAAGUGGAAUUCGCGGUGUAGCGGUGAAAUGCGUAGAUAUUAGGAGGAACACCAGUGGCGAAGGCGGCUUACUGGACUGUAAAUGACGCUGAGGCUCGAAAGCGUGGGGAGCGAACAGGAUUAGAUACCCGAGUAGUC
rnacentral:rRNA from 1 species